CUCGGCUCUCGCAUCGAUGAAGAACGUAGCGAAAUGCGAUACUUGGUGUGAAUUGCAGAAUCCCGUGAACCAUCGAGUCUUUGAACGCAAGUUGCGCCCCAAGCCUUCAGGCCGAGGGCACGUCUGCCUGGGUGUCACAAAUCGUCGUCCCCAUCUUUUUCGGA
rnacentral:rRNA from 1 species